AAUUCAGUGAAUCAUCGAAUCUUUGAACGCACAUUGCGCCCUUUGGUAUUCCAAAGGGCAUGCCUGUUCGAGCGUCAUUU
rnacentral:rRNA from 1 species